rnacentral:rRNA from 1 species
CCUACGGGCGGCUGCAGUGGGGAAUAUUGGACAAUGGGGGGAACCCUGAUCCAGCCAUGCCGCGUGUGUGAAGAAGGCCCUCGGGUUGUAAAGCACUUUCAGUGAGGAAGAACGCCUGGUGGUUAAUACCCAUCAGGAAAGACAUCACUCACAGAAGAAGCACCGGCUAACUCCGUGCCAGCAGCCGCGGUAAUACGGAGGGUGCGAGCGUUAAUCGGAAUUACUGGGCGUAAAGCGCGCGUAGGUGGCUUGAUAAGCCGGUUGUGAAAGCCCCGGGCUCAACCUGGGAACGGCAUCCGGAACUGUCAAGCUAGAGUGCAGGAGAGGAAGGUAGAAUUCCCGGUGUAGCGGUGAAAUGCGUAGAGCUCGGGAGGAAUACCAGUGGCGAAGGCGGCCUUCUGGACUGACACUGACACUGAGGUGCGAAAGCGUGGGUAGCAAACAGGAUUAGAUACCCCUGUAGUC